rnacentral:rRNA from 1 species
GAACUCAAGAGUUUGAUCCUGGCUCAGGACGAACGCUGGCGGCAUGCUUAACACAUGCAAGUCGAACGGACUGAUUCCUUCGGGAUGAAAGUUAGUGGCGAACGGGUGAGUAAUGUAUGAGCAACCUGCCUCUAUCAACGGGAUAGCAGUUGGAAACGACUGGUAAUACGGUAUAUGACCACAGCACGGCAUCGUGCAGCGGUAAAAGAUUUUAUCGGAUAGAGAUGGGCUCAUAUCCCAUUAGGUAGUUGGUGAGAUAACAGCCCACCAAGCCGACGAUGGGUAGCCGAGCUGAGAGGCUGAUCGGCCACAUUGGGACUGAAACACGGCCCAGACUCCUACGGGAGGCAGCAGUGGGGAAUAUUGGGCAAUGGAGGCAACUCUGACCCAGCAAUGCCGCGUGAGUGAUGAAUGGAUUUUUCUUGUAAAGCUCUUUUCUUUGGAACGAAUAAAUGACGGUACCAAAGGAAUAAGCCCCGGCUAACUACGUGCCAGCAGCCGCGGUAAUACGUAGGGGGCAAGCGUUGUUCGGAAUGACUGGGCGUAAAGGGUGUGUAGGUGGUUUGCUAAGUUAG